rnacentral:rRNA from 1 species
UAGAGAUAGAGCUUUCCUCUUCGGAGGACAAAGUGACAGGUGGUGCAUGGUUGUCGUCAGCUCGUGUCGUGAGAUGUUGGGUUAAGUCCCGCAACGAGCGCAACCCUUGAACUUAGUUGCCAUCAUUUAGUUGGGCACUCUAAGUUGACUGCCGGUGACAAACCGGAGGAAGGUGGGGAUGACGUCAAAUCAUCAUGCCCCUUAUGAUUUGGGCUACACACGUGCUACAAUGGACAAUACAAAGGGCAGCGAAACCGCGAGGUCAAGCAAAUCCCAUAAAGUUGUUCUCAGUUCGGAUUGUAGUCUGCAACUCGACUACAUGAAGCUGGAAUCGCUAGUAAUCGUAGAUCAGCAUGCUACGGUGAAUACGUUCCCGGGUCUUGUACACACCGCCCGUCACACCACGAGAGUUUGUAACACCCGAAGCCGGUGGAGUAACCAUUUGGAGCUAGCCGUCGAAGGUGGGACAAAUGAUUGGGGUGAAGUCGUAACAAGGUAGCCGUAUCGGAAGGUGCGGCUGGAUCACCUCCUUUCUAAGGA